rnacentral:rRNA from 1 species
UACGAAGGGGGCUAGCGUUGCUCGGAAUCACUGGGCGUAAAGGGUGCGUAGGCGGGUCUUUAAGUCAGGGGUGAAAUCCUGGAGCUCAGCUCCAGAACUGCCUUUGAUACUGAGGAUCUUGAGUUCGGGAGAGGUGAGUGGAACUGCGAGUGUAGAGGUGAAAUUCGUAGAUAUUCGCAAGAACACCAGUGGCGAAGGCGGCUCACUGGCCCGGUACUGACGCUGAGGUGCGAAAGCGUGGGGAGCAAACAGG